AUUGAACGCUGGCGGCGUGCCUAACACAUGCAAGUCGAGCGGUAACAGGUGUAGCAAUACAUGCUGACGAGCGGCGGACGGGUGAGCAAUAUUUGGGAAUCUGCCUAUUAGUGGGGGAUAACCCGGGGAAACUCGGGCUAAUACCGCAUACGCACUACGGUGGAAAGCCGGGGACCGCAAGGCCUGGCGCUAAUAGAUGAGCCCAAAUCGGAUUAGCUAGUUGGUGAGGUAUCGGCUCACCAAGGCGACGAUCCGUAGCUGGUUUGAGAGAACGACCAGCCACACCGGAACUGAGACACGGUCCGGACUCCUACGGGAGGCAGCAGUGGGGAAUAUUGGACAAUGGGCGAAAGCCUGAUCCAGCGACGCCGCGUGGGUGAAGAAGGCCUGCGGGUUGUAAAGCCCUUUCGGUUGGGAAGAAAAGUAUUGACCUAACACGUCAGUACCUUGACGUAACCAACAAAAGAAGCACCGGCUAACUCUGUGCCAGCCGCCGCGGUAA
rnacentral:rRNA from 1 species